GCAACACUGCAUCACAUCUGCGUGUCGCAUCUCACGGAGCUGCAAGGCCUGGCCAAGAGCCAGCCCGCCAUCAGGAAGCUGGUCACCGUCACCGAGAUGCUCACCAAGCACAAACACAAGUACCUCGAGAUGAUCAGAUAGGACACAGGGUAAUUUGCCGUAACUCCAUCGGAAAUCGGUAACGCGUUAAGUAAGGUUUAGGAUAAGUUGUAUCUCUUAGUCGGACACGCGUAGUCAUUGUUAGCUUUAGCAAUUAUGUUAUAAUCUCGUAUUACGCAAUCAACAUUUAUUUCCAUGCUUCCUCGUGCCAAAAAUCAUGGGCGUUUAAAACUACACCGCUUAAAUUUAUCUCUUUAGAGUAACAAUAGAUAAUAUUACAUUUAUAAUAAAAUUAAUCUCUUUAGGUAAUUAUCGCACCGAAUUUAAUUACAAUGUUUCGGUAUUAUUACCCUGUCUCACGUUUUAAAAAUUAAUUUAAACGCCCAUGGUGUAGCAAUUGUAUUACAAUUUACAACAUAUUGUAUUAAUUAAUUUUAAACUGCCCAUAAAGCAUUUUAUUUAUGUGGACGCUCUCUAGUAUUGUGAGACAUUUAUUAUUAAGGCCCGGUCCGUGAGCACGUAGAAUUUUGUCCAAUGACCCCUAGCUACCCAUCCUUAUCGCUCGCGCGUAAUUAUAUUGUUGUCGCGACUGUGCGACUGGCACCCGCAGUGAGUGUGCGAGCGCGAUAGCAACAUAAUUACGCGCGAGCAAUAAGGAUGGGUAGCUUGGGGUCAUUGGACAAAAUUCUACGUGCUCACGGACCAGACUAUAGACAUUAUUUAUUAAGAUUUUUUAUGAAUGAGCAUUUACUAUUUCAUUAAGUUCAUGGGUGUAUGUGUAAGAAGGGUAGACGUGCUAGAUGCGUAGAUUAUGAUAAAGUAUUGAACCUAUUGUGGUUCAGUUUCACAACUUGUUGCCUUCCAAAGACAAUGGAUACUCAUGUAAUUAAUGCAUUUGAAAAGGUCACAAAUUAUGAGUAAUUUGGAUGAGUGUCGUGCACUAUAAGGUCACAAAGUGAUUACGGAGAAGGUGAAGCUUAUUAAAGGUUUUAUUUGCCAGAAGUAUGUUACUGACUCAUACUCGAGUCAGUUAAUAUUACUCGAUGCGCUUAUAAAUGUUCUGGAACAGCGGUAUCAAAUUAUGGACACCCUUGUAUGUCUAGAUAGUGAGAUCACAAUGAUGAAUCAGAAAACAACAGCAUCUAGACUCUAACUCAAUGCAAUGAGGUAGAUUAUUGCUUGAUUGGAAUAAUAUUUCGUAAAAGGUGCUCCGUUUCUUUUGGUACUGACUACGCCGGGAACUUUACUUAUGAAUAUUGGUAAUCGCAAAUAUUCGAGCUGAUAGUCAGCCGAUUUUGAUCCUAAAAUCAAUAACGGUGGAUUUGAAUUUAGUUGUAACGUACUGAGAUUGCUUCAGUUUAAGGUAUAUUCACAAAGCUAAUAUGGCGCGCUACAAACGCGAAGGUUCGAUCGCACGCAUUUAGAUUUGUGGAUAUACUUAAAAAGUUUUAAUCAUUACGUAACGAUUUAGUUGUAAGUUUUAUAUUUACUGCUUUUAUUAUGUGUACAACUUAUUUAGCAUUUAUAUUAUACUUGAGUAUUAUGUAGAACUUGCGCAGGUGAGCUGAUUGUAUUUUGAUUUUCCAGGCACUAAAGUUUUGAAUGAUACAAAGUUCAUAAUUAACCAAAGAGUUUAAAAUACGUUUAGUAAUAAAGGCUGUUGCAUAAGGAACAUAAAAGUACAUUGCUCUUUUCUUGAAACCCUCUUGAACCGGUAAAGGAUCUGUAUUAAGUUAUUGAUCAUACAAGGAACUUUGAAGAAUAUUUCAGACUCAGGCAUGUAGCUCUCCUGUGUAGGUUAGUACUAAAUAAGUAUGUCAUAAGAAGUACUGCAUAGGCGUAGUUUUAGUGUAGGCAUCGACGACCAUCACAGGUAAGACACCAAAAAUGAAGUAGCAAAAUAUUAUGAAUGUGAUAGACAUGGUUAGGCGAAUGGUGUUCUUUACUUUAUUAGAACCUUAUAAAUGUGACGUAGCACUUAAAAUAUUGCAGUGCACCAACUCUGUAUUUAUUGAUUCUCUGUGAUAAUUAUUGACUAUUCCUUUUCAUAUAAAUAACUGCAUUUUUCUCUGUGAUUUUAUUGGUUAUUUGAAGACUUGAGUUCUAAAGCGUUUUAAACAUUCAUUUAUUGUCAAUUAAAAAGUUAUAAAAUGACAAAAUUUUCUAGUUAAACAAAGUAAUAAGUUCAUACUUUUCAUUUGCCUUUUUAUACGAAGUUUCAUCUACAUUAUUUUACUUGUGCCAUAAACUGUACUUAUUAUUCUAUUUUGAUCGCUCACGAUAUGUUAUUAACUAAGUUUUGUUUCUUUAAUAGUGGGCAUUAUUAAAUAGCAAUAAAAAGCAAGUUUCACAUCUAACUAUAUUAUGCUUUUUUGUAGAGAUACUGUAUUGAAAAACGUAUAAUAUGUUGAUUCUAUUUUUAUCAAGUACUGAAUAGUAUGUUGAAUAAUGCUUCCCUAAAUGUUAUAAAUUAAGUUCCAUUUAUUGAGACUGGGAUACCAAUUUUUUAAUUAACCCCUUGAACGAAAAAGUAUAGAAGAAUAAAAUACAACAAUAAGAUGUGAAGAACACAUAACUGAUAUUAUUUAAGUCUGAAAUAAUACAUUACGGAAAAGUCACAUUUGAAUGUUUUUAGUAGAGCCAAUUACGCGGUAUUGACCCUUGUUAUUGUUUUUAUCCUUCUAUGCUCUUUUUGUUUACUACCUACAUAAAACAAAUCGCUGAUUCUCUAAUGAAUCGACUGUGACAGUUAUGAAGAAUUGGAGCUUGUUGCUGGCUUGAAUGCAUCGAAGUUAUGACGUUCAUUUAUUUAUUUAGCAUUAGCUUUAGGAUUAGUGGAGUGCCACUGCUAUAUCCGAGUGUGUUGUUUAGCUUAUGAUAGGGACAAUGUCUAGACUGAUUUACGCUCCAAUUAGAAGUGUUAGUAUAUAAUGUAUGCACUAGAUUUUCCACGAAAUUGUAACAAAGAGUGAUAAUAUUGCAAUAUUCGGCCCUUAUAAUGUAAAACUUUUGAUACUGAAAUUCAAAAAUUAUUAUAACAAUAGAAUUUGGUUAAAAUUUUGACAUGUUUUUUCUGAUUCAGAAAUAAUUAGUGGCUGUAGAUGGGAUUGUGUAAUUAGUUACAGUUCAAUUGUCAAUAUCGAAUAUUUGUUUAGAUGUUUUGCUACAAUUAUACAAUAUGAUAAAAUAUCUAUAUUUUUUGUGGACAUAAUAAUAUUUUUUAUUUAUUAUUUUCAAUGCAAUAUUUACUGAGAAUAUUUUUUUAUUUUGAUGAUGAUCAUUUUUAAAUCACAAUUAUAUUGAUUGAUAAGCACUUGUUGAUAUCUGCAAUAACAGGCAGAUUUGUUUCAAGUUUUAGGUUGCAUCCGAACUAAUCUGUGUUACAAAAGUUUAUUGUUUUCAGUUGAUUCUGAAACAAACGUGUUUCAUCUGUAUAAGUUCGACAAAGUAAGUAACAAUUAGAAAUACAUAAACUAGAUUUUGUGACUGUUUUGUAAUCUCUUUAUAUUCUAUCCUUUAGUGUGUACUGUUUUCUAUUAAAUUUUUAUCUGUGCUAGAUCCAGUCUCGUAUAAAAUAAAAUUAUAGAAAUGAA